UACGUAGGGGGCAAGCGUUGUCCGGAUUUAUUGGGCGUAAAGUAGCGUGUAGGCGGCCAGGUAGGUCCGUUGUGAAAACUAGAGGCUUAACCUCUAGACGUCGAUGGAAACCAUCUGGCUAGAGUCCGGAAGAGGAGAGUGGAAUUCCUGGUGUAGCGGUGGAAUGCGCAGAGAUCCCCAAGAACACCAGUUGCGAAGGCGGCUGACUGGACACAUAUUGACGCUGAGGCUCGAAAGCAUGGGGAGCAAACAGG
rnacentral:rRNA from 1 species